rnacentral:rRNA from 1 species
ACGCUGGCGGCACGCCUUAUACAUGCAAGUCGAACGAAGUAGCAAUACUUAGUGGCAGACGGGUGAGUAACAUGUAGGUAUCUUCCCUUUGGUGAGGAAUAACACGAGGAAACUUGUGCUAAUACCUCAUAAGUCUUUACGGAGAAAGCUUUAUGCGCCAUUGGAUGAGCCUGCACUUGAUUAGUUUGUUGGUGGGGUAAUGGCCUACCAAGACUGUGAUCAAUAGCUGAUCUGAGAGGAUGAUCAGCCACAUUGGGACUGAGACACGGCCCAAACUCCUACGGGAGGCAGCAGUAGGGAAUAUUGCACAAUGGAGGAAACUCUGAUGCAGCGAUGCCGCGUGAGUGAAGAAGGCCUUUGGGUUGUAAAGCUCUUUCGUCGGGGAAGAAAAUGACUGUACCCGAAUAAGAAGGUCCGGCUAACUUCGUGCCAGCAGCCGCGGUAAUACGAAGGGACCUAGCGUAGUUCGGAAUUACUGGGCUUAAAGAGUUCGUAGGUUGUUAAAAAAGUUGGUGGUGAAAUCCCAGAGCUCAACUCUGGAACUGCCAUCAAAACUUUUUAGCUAGAGUAUGAUAGAGGAAAGCAGAAUUUCUAGUGUAGAGGUGAAAUUCGUAGAUAUUAGAAAGAAUACCAAUUGCGAAGGCAGCUUUCUGGAUCAUUACUGACGCUGAGGAACGAAAGCAUGGGUAGCGAAGAGGAUUAGAUACCCUCGUAGUCCAUGCCGUAAACGAUGUGUGUUAGACGUUGGAAAUUUAUUUUCAGUGUCGCAGCGAAAGCAGUAAACACACCGCCUGGGGAGUACGACC